rnacentral:rRNA from 1 species
UACGUAGGAGACGAGCGUUGUCCGGAGUUACUGGGCGUAAAGGGUGCGCAGGUGGCGGCGCGCGUGGGGGGUGAAAUCGCCCGGCUUAACUGGGCGGGGGCCUUCCAGACGGCGUGGCUUGAGCAGCGGAGGGGGACGUGGAAUUCCGGGUGGAGCGGUGAAAUGCGUAGAGAUCGGAAAGAACACCAACGGCGAAAGCACUCUGCUGGGCCGACACUGACACUGAGAGACGAAAGCUAGGGGAGCGAAUGGG